rnacentral:rRNA from 1 species
GAUUAACGCUGGCGGCGUGCCUAAUGCAUGCAAGCCGAACGGCUCGAUUUAUCGAGCAGUGGCAAACGGGUGAGUAACACGUAAGAACCUACCCUCAAGUGGGGGAUAACCCCGAGAAAUCGGGGCUAAUACCGCAUACGCUCUCUGAUUCUGUCAGGGAGGAAAGUUGAGGCGCUUGAGGACGGGCUUGCGUCCGAUUAGCUUGUUGGUGAGGUAAUGGCUCACCAAGGCUGAGAUCGGUAGCUGGUCUUAGAGGAUGAUCAGCCACACUGGGACUGAGAUACGGCCCAGACUCCUACGGGAGGCAGCAGCAGGGAAUAUUGCGCAAUGGGUGAAAGCCUGACGCAGCAACGCCGCGUGGGGGAUGAAGGCCCUCGGGUCGUAAACCCCUUUUCUCAGGGAAGAUGAUGACGGUACCUGAGGAAUAAGUCUCGGCUAACUACGUGCCAGCAGCCGCGGUAAGACGUAGGAGGCGAGCGUUAUCCGGAAUUAUUGGGCGUAAAGGGCGUGUAGGCGGCUCUUCAAGUCUUUGGUGAAAUCUCCCGGCUUAACCGGGAGGGUGCCAGGGAAACUGGAGGGCUUGAGGGCAGCAGAGGGGGGUGGAAUUCCCGGUGUAGUGGUGAUAUGCGUAGAUAUCGGGAGGAACACCAGUGGCGAAGGCGGCCCCCUGGGCUGUUCCUGACGCUGAGGCGCGAAAGCGUGGGGUGCAAACAGGAUUAGAUACCCUGGUAGUCCACGCCGCAAACGAUGGAUACUAGGUAUGGGGGG